rnacentral:SRP_RNA from 1 species
UGUCGGUCCCCUCGCGACGGUCAUCCGUAAACCCCGCCAGGCCCGGAAGGGAGCAACGGUAGCGGUGCCACCGGGUGUUGAGGUGUGGCGGGUGCGG